rnacentral:rRNA from 1 species
UACGAAGGGGGCUAGCGUUGUUCGGAUUUACUGGGCGUAAAGCGCACGUAGGCGGAUCGUUAAGUGAGGGGUGAAAUCCCAGGGCUCAACCCUGGAACUGCCUUUCAUACUGGCGAUCUAGAGUCCGGAAGAGGUGAGUGGAACUCCUAGUGUAGAGGUGGAAUUCGUAGAUAUUGGCUGGAACACCGGUGGCGAAAGCGGCUCUCUGGCCCGGUUCUGACGCUGAGGCGCGAAAGCGUGGGGAGCAAACAGG